AUUCUUACCUGGCAGGAGAAACACCUUGAUCAUGAAAGUUUUCCCAGGGUGAAUUUCAUCCAUUGCAUUCCAGCUAUGCUGGCUCCUGAAAUUUUCCCAAAUGCAAGAAAGUCCACUGCAUAAUUUGUGCUAUUGCAGGACUGUGUCUAACACAGGGCAAUA
ensembl:snRNA U1 U1 spliceosomal RNA